rnacentral:rRNA from 1 species
UACGUAGGGUGCAAGCGUUGUCCGGAAUUAUUGGGCGUAAAGGGCUCGUAGGCGGUCCAUCGCGUCGGGAGUGAAAAGCUGGGGCUCAACCCCAGUCCUGCUUCCGAUACGGGUGGACUAGAGGUAUGCAGGGGAGAACGGAAUUCCUGGUGUAGCGGUGAAAUGCGCAGAUAUCUGCAGGAACACCCGUGGCGAAGGCGGCUCCCUGGUCCGAUUCUGACGCUGAGACGCGAAAGCGCGGGGAGCGAACGGG